AAUGGCACACUCGGGGAACAAUGUCCGGCUCUAUACAACAUUGUCCGCCAUAAGGAUGAUACUAUCGUCACGGUAAUGAAAUCAUUUCCAUCUAAUGUGACAUUCAGAAGAGAUUUAAUUGGACCCAGACUCCAAUCAUGGAACAUCCUGCUCCAGCGGAUGUUAAUGGUGCAAUUGUCACAUGGGUCUGAUAUAUUCCGAUGGAACCUCCAUGAGAAUGGACAAUUCUCGAUUGAGUCAUUGUAUAGAGCGUUAAUCCAGUCUGAUGUGCCAGUUCAUAAUAAUAAAAAGAUCUAG
rnacentral:rRNA from 1 species